rnacentral:misc_RNA from 1 species
GAUGAAGAACGUAGUGAAAUGCGAUAAGUAGUGUGAAUUGCAGAAUUCAGUGAAUCAUCGAAUCUUUGAACGCACAUUGCGCCCUAUAGUAUUCUGUAGGGCAUGCAUGUUCGAGCGUCAUUUGUACCUUCAAGCUUUGCUUGGUGUUGGGUGUUUGUCCUCUCCCUGGUGUUUGGACUCGCCUUAAAACAAUUGGCAGCCAGUGUUUUGGUAUUGAAGCGCAGCACAAUUUGCGAUUCUGGCCUUAAAAUACUAGCGUCCAUAAGUACAUUCUCACUUUUGACCUCGGAUCAUGUAGGGAUACCCGCUGAACUUAAGCAUAUCAUAAGCGGAGGA